GUGCUCGCUUCGGCAGCACAUAUACUAAAAUUGGAACGAUACAGAGAAGAUUAGCAUGGCCCCAGACAGUUAAAUCUUACUUUAACACUGGGAGAAGGAACAAAGUCCU